rnacentral:rRNA from 1 species
AGAAUGAACGUUGGCGGCGUGGAUUAGGCAUGCAAGUCGAACGAAUCCCAUCUGGGUAACUGGGUGGGGGAAGUGGCGAAAGGGGCAGUAAUGCAUGGGUAACUUGCCCUGGAGUUCGGGAUAGCCUUUCUAACGAAUGGGUAAUACCGAAUGCCGUACUGUGGGGGCAUCCUCGUAGUACGAAAGUUCCGACGCUCCGGGAGAGGUCCAUGUGGUAUUAGCUAGUUGGUGGGGUAACGGCCCACCAAGGCCAAGAUGCCUAGCGGGUGUGAGAGCACGACCUGCGUCACUGGCACUGGGACACUGGCCAGACUCCUACGGGAGGCUGCAGUCGAGGAUCUUCGGCAAUGGGCGAAAGCCUGACCGAGCGACGCCGCGUGUGCGAUGAAGGCCUUCGGGUUGUAAGCACUGUCGAGGGAAAGAAAGGCGCAAGCUUUGAUCGAUCUCUGGAGGAAGCUCGGGCUAAGUUCGUGCCAGCAGCCGC